UCACUCGGCCAUUAGUUAGCUUUGAGACCUGGACACAUGGCUGCCCCUCUGGGCUUCCGUUUCUUCCUCAGUAAAAUAAGAUAGUGCUCAAGUGGCGGUUCAUGAGGAAAAGUCUGGCGUGCAAAGACAGCCUAGACAUGUAAUAAAGGACCACAGGAGCUGCUUGGACGUCACUGAACCACAGGAGACCCAUGUCUUCUGGAAACCCAAGCCCUGCACGCCCCCCCCCCCCCCCCUCAGAGGACCUGCCAACUACGCCCUGAAAUAGCCCGGGGACACACCAGGCUCCAAAGCUCAAUGCCGAGGGACUCUCGUUUCCCUCAUCUCUCUGUGAACGAAAUUCUUUUCCUUCCAAACAAGAUCCAACAGUGAAAGGAAAAAAACUCUCUUGAACUUUGUCUCUGCCUUUGGU